rnacentral:tRNA from 1 species
CGGGACGUAGUGAAGUCUGGCCAUCACGCCUGUUUCGGAUACAGGAGAUCCCCCGGUUCGAAUCCGGGCGUCCCGA